rnacentral:rRNA from 1 species
GAUGAACGCUGGCGGCGUGCCUAAUACAUGCAAGUCGAGCGAACGGACGAGAAGCUUGCUUCUCUGAUGUUAGCGGCGGACGGGUGAGUAACGCGUGGAUAACCUACCUAUAAGACUGGGAUAACUUCGGGAAACCGGUGCUAAUACCGGAUAAUAUUUUGAACCGCAUGGUUCAAAAGUAAAAGACGGUCUUGCUGUCACUUAUAGAUGGAUCCGCGCUGCAUUAGCUAGUUGGUAAGGUAACGGCUUACCAAGGCAACGAUGCAUAGCCGACCUGAGAGGGUGAUCGGCCACACGGGAACUGAGACACGGUCCAGACUCCUACGGGAGGCAGCAGAAGGGAAUCUUCCGCAAUGGGCGAAAGCCUGACGGAGCAACGCCGAGUGAGUGAUGAAGGUCUUCGGAUCGUAAAACUCUGUUAUUAGGGAAGAACAUAUGUGUAAGUAAAUGUGCACAUCGUGACGGUACCUAAUCAGUAAGCCACGGCUAACUACGUG